CAUUUUGAUUCGACGUUUUGACUAGCUUGCAGUCAUCAUCAUUUUCCUGAUGAUGACUGCAAGCUAGUCGAAACAUCGAAUCAAAAUG